AUUGAACGCUGGCGGCAGGCUUAACACAUGCAAGUCGAGCGGAGAUGAGGUGCUUGCACCUUAUCUUAGCGGCGGACGGGUGAGUAAUGCUUAGGAAUCUGCCUAUUAGUGGGGGACAACAUUCCGAAAGGAAUGCUAAUACCGCAUACGUCCUACGGGAGAAAGCAGGGGAUCUUCGGACCUUGCGCUAAUAGAUGAGCCUAAGUCGGAUUAGCUAGUUGGUGGGGUAAAGGCCUACCAAGGCGACGAUCUGUAGCGGGUCUGAGAGGAUGAUCCGCCACACUGGGGCUGAGACACGGCCCAGACUCCUACGGGAGGCAGCAGUGGGGAAUAUUGGACAAUGGGGGGAACCCUGAUCCGGCCAUGCCGCGUGUGUGAAGAAGGCCUUAUGGUUGUAAAGCACUUUAAGCGAGGAGGAGGCUACUGAGACUAAUACUCUUGGAUAGUGGACGUUACUCGCAGAAUAAGCACCGGCUAACUCUGUGCCAGCCGCCGCAGUAACAC
rnacentral:rRNA from 1 species